rnacentral:lncRNA from 1 species
GGAGUGACAGCCUCAUAAGACCAGGAGGAUACCGCUUGUGAUAUCAUCUCUGUUUGUGACCAUUGUUUCUCAUUGUGGGAUAUACAGCUUCAUUUCUGUAAAGAUUCGGUCUCACAUACCACAGAGGACACAGACCUUGGUCCCCUUGGAGCACCAUCAGGACAAGAGGCUCUCACUUUCUUUGAUGCACAGUAACACAGCUUUAGACGUGGAAUGAUGGACCUGCGGUCUGCUUCAUGACAUAGAUACUAGUAAACCUAUCUACUCAAAGUAUGUUUGUAAUAGAUCCUAUUAUUUUAAAUAAAUAAAUAAAUAAAUAAAUCA